GGGGGGGGGGGGGGGGGGGGGGGGGGGGGGGGGGGCGGGGGGGGGGGGCGGGGCGGGGGUGGGCGAGGGGCGAGGGGGGGGGUAACGGGGGGGUACCCGGCGCGGGACUGCGGUUUAACUGCAGGACACGGGGGCGACUACCGCAGAGUAAGCCUGGCUGCCGGGAGGGGGUGGGAGUGCUUCGUCGGUUGUGGCUGGACGCGCGGCUUCUCAGGUUGUGUGUGGGGUAGUGGCUUACCAAGGCUUUUCUGGGUAGCCGGCCUGAUAGGGCGCUCGGCCACAUUGGGACUGAGAUACGGCCCAGACUCCUACGGGAGGCAGCAGUGGGGAAUAGGGCACAAUGGGCGGAAGCCUGAUGCAGCAACGCCGCGUGCGGGAUGACGGCCUGCGGGUUGUAAACCGCUUUCAGCAGGGGCGAAGCUUGUGGUGACGGUACCUGCAGAAGAAGCACCGGCUAACUACGUG
rnacentral:rRNA from 1 species